rnacentral:rRNA from 1 species
GGGCCCGCACAAGCGGUGGAGCAUGUGGUUUAAUUCGAAGCAACGCGAAGAACCUUACCAGGUCUUGACGUCCCGCUGACUGCCUAGGAGACUAGGCUUUCCCUUCGGGGACAGCGGUGACAGGUGGUGCAUGGUUGUCGUCAGCUCGUGUCGUGAGAUGUUGGGUUAAGUCCCGCAACGAGCGCAACCCUUGAUCUUAGUUGCCAGCAUUCAGUUGGGCACUCUAAGGUGACUGCCGGUGACAAACCGGAGGAAGGUGGGGAUGACGUCAAAUCAUCAUGCCCCUUAUGACCUGGGCUACACACGUGCUACAAUGGACGGUACAAAGGGCUGCAAACCCGCGAGGGGGAGCCAAUCCCAGAAAACCGUUCUCAGUUCGGAUUGCAGGCUGCAACUCGCCUGCAUGAAGCCGGAAUCGCUAGUAAUCGUGGAUCAGCAUGCCACGGUGAAUACGUUCCCGGGCCUUGUACACACCGCCCGUCACACCACGAGAGUUUGUAACACCCGAAGUCGGUGAGGUAACCACUUGUGGAGCCAGCCGCCGAAGGUGGGACAGAUGAUUGGGGUGAAGUCGUAACAAGGUAACCAAGGGCGAAUUCC